GAUUCGUUGUGCUGUUAUUAAUAGUGGGAAUAUCCAGCUGUGCCACUGCCCACUAUGUCCGAUUGGCAAGAAAAUCAAUUUCAUAUAAUGCACUGCUAAACAUGAAAUUCUCAUGUCCCAAACAAAAUGAAUACGAAAAUGACACAAUGAAAACAGAACUGAUAGAAGCCAUAACGCCUGCGGAUGUCGAUUCGUCGAAUAAAUCUCAAAAUGAAUGGCUGAAAGUAGCAAUGGUCAUUGAAUGUUCGUCGUUUACGAUUUGUUUGAUUAUUGUUGUGCUUCUUAUGAUAAGUUUGAUGAAUUGAUAACGUUUAAAGUUCGCGUCGAUUU